rnacentral:rRNA from 1 species
UACAGAGGGGGCAAGCGUUAUUCGGAAUUAUUGGGCGUAAAGAGCUCGUAGGCGGUCUGUCGCGUCGGGAGUGAAAACUCAGGGCUUAACCCUGAGCCUGCUUCCGAUACGGGCAGACUAGAGGUAUGCAGGGGAGAACGGAAUUCCUGGUGUAGCGGUGAAAUGCGCAGAUAUCAGGAGGAACACCGGUGGCGAAGGCGGUUCUCUGGGCAUUACCUGACGCUGAGGAGCGAAAGCGUGGGGAGCGAACGGG